rnacentral:rRNA from 1 species
AGCAUAUCAAUAAGCGGAGGAAAAGAAACCAACAGGGAUUGCCCCAGUAACGGCGAGUGAAGCGGCAACAGCUCAAAUUUGAAAUCUGGCCCCAGGCCCGAGUUGUAAUUUGCAGAGGAUGCUUUUGGCGCGGUGCCUUCCGAGUUCCCUGGAACGGGACGCCAUAGAGGGUGAGAGCCCCGUACGGUUGGACACCAAGCCUUUGUAAAGCUCCUUCGACGAGUCGAGUAGUUUGGGAAUGCUGCUCUAAAUGGGAGGUACAUUUCUUCUAAAGCUAAAUAUUGGCCAGAGACCGAUAGCGCACAAGUAGAGUGAUCGAAAGAUGAAAAGCACUUUGAAAAGAGGGUUAAACAGCACGUGAAAUUGUUAAAAGGGAAGCGCUUGUGACCAGACUUGCGUCCGGUGAAUCACCCAGCUCUCGCGGCUGGGGCACUUCGCCGGCACAGGCCAGCAUCAGCUUGCCGUCGGGGACAAAAGCUUCAGGAACGUGGCUCCUCUCGGGGAGUGUUAUAGCCUGUUGCACAAUACCCUUCGGCGGGCUGAGGUACGCGCUCCGCAAGGAUGCUGGCGUAAUGGUCAUCAGCGACCCGUCUUGAAACACGGACCAAGGAGUCAACCUUAUGUGCGAGUGUUUGGGUGUUAAACCCCUACGCGUAAUGAAAGUGAACGCAGGUGAGAGCUUCGGCGCAUCAUCGACCGAUCCUGAUGUUCUCGGAUGGAUUUGAGUAAGAGCAUAUAGGGUUGGACCCGAAAGAAGGUGAACUAUGCGUGUGUAGGGUGAAGCCAGAGGAAACUCUGGUGGAGGCUCGCAGCGGUUCUGACGUGCAAAUCGAUCGUCAAACAUGCGCAUGGGGGCGAAAGACUAAUCGAACCUUCUAGUAGCUGGUUUCCGCCGA